rnacentral:rRNA from 1 species
UACGUAGGGGGCAAGCGUUGUCCGGAAUCAUUGGGCGUAAAGAGCGCGUAGGCGGUCCGGUAAGUCCGCUGUGAAAGUCAAGGGCUCAACCCUUGAAUGCCGGUGGAUACUGUCGGGCUAGAGUCCGGAAGAGGCGAGUGGAAUUCCUGGUGUAGCGGUGAAAUGCGCAGAUAUCAGGAGGAACACCGAUGGCGAAGGCAAUCCCUGGCCUGCACUGACGCUCAUGCACGAAGCGUGGG